CAGGAAGCUGGAGAAGUGACUGAGGAUAAGCCGAGGAAGUGAGGAAGGAACACCGGUAUGCAGAGCUUACUGAUAAUGAGUGCACGGGGGCAGGGACUUUACUGGCCCGCAUUGUUCACAGCUUCUAUCGAUCAGGCAUUCAGGGGAGAGGAGUACAUCUCACCAUGCUGCAUGUAUAAUCACAUUAAGAAACAUGUCAAAGGGUCUAUAAAGACAUUACUGACCAUGAAAUGAGAAGAUGCAUAGGAGAUAGCUUCACCAAUCCCACACAAGAAUUGUUUGUGGUCACAGGCCGGUGCCAAAUUCAAGAUCAUAGAACAGAUACAGAUGGACAUCAGCUUAUAUUUUUGUUGUUCUGUCAACUUUAUUGUGCAUCUGCAUUAUACUUGUACCCUAGGCCUAUACUAUAAGUUAUUCUCUGGUUUAUUGCAAUGUCAUAUUUAAAAUGUUUUAAUACCUGGAACAUUUGAAGCCUUAUAAAAGUUUAAAUUACUUUUAA